UACUCCCGCCGGCGACCGGCGCACGGGGUGAGUAACACGUAUGAAACCUGCCCGUGGCAGGGGGAUAAGCGGGGGAAACCCCGUCUAAUACCGCGUAACGCGGCCUAGGGACAUCCCAAGGCCGCCAAAGGGAGCAAUCCCGGCCACGGAUGGGCAUGCGGCGCAUUAGCUAGUCGGCGGGGUAACGGCCCACCGAGGCGACGAUGCGUAGGGGUUCUGAGAGGAAGGCCCCCCACACUGGUACUGAGACACGGACCAGACUCCUACGGGAGGCAGCAG
rnacentral:rRNA from 1 species